ACAGGUGGAACAUUUCCUGGUGAACAGCUCCGGUCACAGAGGUGGAAUGUGCUGUCUACAAAAACCCACUCAUUCUAAAUUUUCCCUGUCCUCCACAGUAUGAGAAAUGAAACCAGUGAUGGAAAGCAUUUGCCCAUAAGCCACGGUCAGUUGUUGAAGCAUCUCAGCAUAUGCCACUGUGCAACCAUCUUCUGGGUGAUGUUAAUUCCACAGAAACAGUGAUAAAGACCACCGGCCCAUGGAACAUGUGGAUUGGGAAGAUGAAAGGGAAGAGAAGAAACAGAAGGAGGAACCUGUGCAAGAGGACACUUGAAAGGAAGCAAUGAAUGAAAGUGUAGACUCGUACUGGAAACAUUUGAGACAAUGCCUUGUAAGCAUGUGAGGGAGAAAAGGCCUGGAGAUAAAUAUUUCCUAAUCAAGAAUCCACAAUCGAGAAGUAGCCCGUUUGAGUGCUAGAAUUACCUUGGGUGAGAGACUGUAGUAAAUAAACACCAGUAAGCUAUAGCUACUCAUAGUCAAGUUAGGAAUUUUAUAAACUAACUUGAGCUGUUAAGCUUAUUAAGAGAGAGGUCAGGUGAUUGUAGAGAUUUUUGAAUAAUUAUAAAGACUAUGUGUAUAUGUUUACAGACUAACUACCUUACUUUAUAGACCUUAAGUGAAGCCACAGUGGGGUUGUUGCAGAAGGUUCUGGAUUGUCUUGAAUAGCUGCAUGUUGUGUUCAGAAGGCAGCAACAGACAUCCUCGUUAGCAGUGAUUCCUCCACUAAUAUGUUUGCUCACACAAAGGCAAAUAAUUAUUUACUGAGGAAGCCAGAGAACAUCUGGUCCUAAACUGCUGUUUGCAAGAACUUUAAUAAAAAGUUCCAUUUUCAAAGAACUUAUCGCCAUCUAUUGGACCAGAAAUGUUCAAAUAUGUAUUUUAGUAGUUUAAUAUUAAACUUUUUUUUCAGCAUUCUAUUUUCCAGAAGCUUAUGUAAAAUGUCAGAAAUCAAAUGAAGAAACAUUUUAUCUCAUGGGUUUAUACCUAGGAAUUUGUAUGUGUGAGUGUGAUUCUGCAUGUAUGCUCAUAUACAAUUACAUGUGGCUUAGUCAUGAACUAGAGAUAAUUCAGAUAUGUAUUCUAGUCCUUUGUUCCCCAUGGGCAGGAGUAAUACUGAAAAAAAGAAACAGAGCUGGUCUAAAGACCCCAGAUUUAUGAGAUUCUAAGGCAAGGGAACUUUAAUAUAAGCCAAGAAAACUUAAACAUAGUCUGAGCCAAGAAAAGUACAGCUGUGGGUCUGCUGGAUGAUGUGGGGGCUUCGCUGCUACCUUAGUUUGCAUGAGAUUCUAAGUGUGGGAUUUUGAGAUUUAAGGUUUGCAUGGUGCCUCAUUUCUGUGAUCUUAGCACUUGGGAGGCCAAACCAAGAGGAUCUGAUGUUCAUGGUCAUAUUCAGCUGUAUAGUAAGUUCAAGGCCAGUUUGGGUUAUGUGAAACCUGUCUUUAAAAAAAACAGAAAGAUUUAUGUGUCUGUGUAAUAGGUUUCAAUUGCUUCAUUGCUUUAGUGGAAUUAAUUAGUCUUUCUUACUUGCCAUCCAUCCCUUUUACAGUGGUACUGUGCUUACAUAUGUCUCAGACUUGUAUGCUAGAUGUAUCUGAUUGAGAAAAUGGAAAAAUGGGAAGGGCCCGUGGUUACAGAGCAACAAUGGAGACAAAUACAGGAUAAGGAGAAAGGAUGGUCAAACAACAAUAUGGAUGUCUGAGAAACUCAUAAUUAUAUUUUUGAUUAUUUAACUGGAAAGCCCUAUAAUAUGCAUAUGUCUUUGUAUGAGUGAAGGUUUCUCAUCGAGGCAGACAGUGCUCCCUGCAGGAAAGAGUCAAAGAUCAUCUGACAAAAGCUCCCACAUGAGGCAUUAGAGGCUCUCCUUUGAGUCGUUGGUCAGAGUUGUUCAGCAUUCUCCCAAACAUUACAGGCUACUGAUAUUGCUCCUGGCUCCCCUACUCCGACUCCCAGAAGUAUAAAAGUCCCAAUUCUUGUAGACACUAUGCACUUUAGAUGCAGGGCCCUGAAUACUAUGAGUUGGAUUUUUUUUAACUUUAUAUGCUCACGAUAUAUGAAUUUUUCCUUGAUUCUCAGAUGAGACUUGGACUUUGUAUUUUUGAAUUAAUACUAGAGCUUUCAGACUUGUUUUUAUGGAUUGAUUACAUUUUGUCUGUGAGAAGGGCAUGACUUUCAAGGAGGCAAAGCUAAGCUAUUAUGGUUUGGAUGUGAUUUGUCCUUUCUAAAACUCACAUAGAAUUUUACUUCCCACUACCAAGUGCUAAGAGUUGACUAAUACUUCUUCCUGGAUGAAUUAAUCUACUUAUGUAAGAAACUUAGAAUACCCAAGAUAUAAGAUACAAUUUGCAAAACACAUGAAACUCAAGAAGAACGAAGACCAAAGUGUGGACGCUUUGCCCCUUCUUAGAAUUAGGAACAAAACACCCAUGGAAAGAGUUACAGAGACAAAGUUUGGAGCUGAGACG
rnacentral:lncRNA from 1 species